rnacentral:rRNA from 1 species
GAUGAACGCUGGCGGCGUGCCUAAUACAUGCAAGUCGAGCGAACAGACGCGGAGCUUGCUCCUCUGACGUUAGCGGCGGACGGGUGAGUAACACGUGGAUAACCUACCUAUAAGACUGGGAUAACUUCGGGAAACCGGAGCUAAUCCCGUAUAAUAUAUUGAACCGCAUGGUUCAAUAGUGAAAGACGGUUUUGCUGUCACUUCUAGCUGGAUCCGCGCCGCAUUAGCUAGUUGGUAAGGUAACGGCUUACCAAGGCGACGAUGCGUAGCCGACCUGAGAGGGUGAUCGGCCACACGGGAACUGAGCCACGGUCCAGACUCCUACGGGAGGCAGCAGUAGGGAAUCUUCCGCAAUGGGCGAAAGCUUGACGGAGCAACGCCGCGUGAGUGAUGAAGGUCUUCGGAUCGUAAAACUCUGUUAUUAGGGAAGAACAAAUGUGUAAGUAACUAUGCACGUCUUGACGGUACCUAAUCAGAAAGCCACGGCUAACUACGUG